GUAUAACUCCUUGACAUACACUUGUUUUGUUUUUCAGCCAGGAGAAACAAGACGACUCCUGCUGAGCUGGACGAGUAUAAAAAGCAGGCAGAGUGUCUGAAUUUACCAGCACCUGCAGUCCUCGACGCAGUAAAAGGUUUUUGCCCAGAUGAGUCUACCUCCCAACAAACAGAAUCCAUUGAUAUAACCAGUGUCAUGGAACACAUGAGCUCUGAUAUUUUUAGAAUAAUUGACCAAAUUACUGACACUGAAGGUGGAAAGCAGAUGCUAACCGAUAUUGUCACCAGCAGCUUUUCAGAUUUAGACUACUAACAUGUAAUGUUCUAUAAAGUCACAGUAUGCUUGCAUAAUAAAGAGACCAUGCUGUCUAAAGGGCCCUCUGCCAAUAAAAAUAAUGAAUACAAAGUA